rnacentral:rRNA from 1 species
CCUACGGGUGGCAGCAGUGGGGGAUAUUGCACAAUGGGGGAAACCCUGAUGCAGCGACGCCGCGUGAGUGAAGAAGUAUUUCGGUAUGUAAAGCUCUAUCAGCAGGGAAGAAAAUGACAGUACCUGACCAAGAAGCCCCGGCUAACUACGUGCCAGCAGCCGCGGUAAUACGUAGGGGGCAAGCGUUAUCCGGAUUUACUGGGUGUAAAGGGAGCGUAGACGGCGGCGCAAGUCUGAAGUGAAAGCCCGUGGCUCAACCGCGGAACCGCUUUGGAAACUGCGAGGCUGGAGUGCUGGAGAGGUAAGCGGAAUUCCUGGUGUAGCGGUGAAAUGCGUAGAUAUCAGGAGGAACACCGGUGGCGAAGGCGGCUUACUGGACAGUGACUGACGUUGAGGCUCGAAAGCGUGGGGAGCGAACAGGAUUAGAUACCCUAGUAGUC